AGACAAGUUCGGCUGGUGACAUUCACAGUUGAGCUAUUCCUGAUGUCUCUGAGGCCACAGUCCUUCCAAGGCCUGGAUGGGAAGCAAUGGCUGCUGGCCUGGGCUGGAUGUCAGAUCCCUCUUCCUCUUUAGAGAUAACUGUUAUCUCCAUCCUCUUCGUUGCUGUCUGUAUCACACUGUACACACUUUGCACCAGCUGUUACAGCUAUCCACCUAAGGCUCCACACUAUCCAGCAGAGAAAGAAAUUCCAUCAUCUUUCGCAACCAAUGAAAAACCAGAAGAUCAUUGGAGCACAAACAGAACCUCGGGCAAUGAGCAUGUUCCUGAUAGGCCACAUACCAGGAGUUACACCAUGGUGCAGCCACAGCUAUCCACAGUAUAUUCUCACAACAGAGCUGAAUCACAUGGAUACUUUAGCCAGGGAAUGAUACCGCAGCUUUCAGAUGCACCAGUCUUCUCAGGUAGCCCUUCAGGGUCAGUGAAUCUGGACUCCUCAUUGUUCCUAUCAACGUUUCGUGAUUCUGGACUUUGGGAGGAACUAACCAUGCAGUUUCCAUCCCUACAACAGCCCAUAACAGUCUUGAAAGACCAUGAAACACAAGACACAGAAGAUCAAACAAAUGUCAAGUCUUCUCCAUGGUUGGAGCCUAGUAAUGAACAUCUAUAUGAAAGCAUUGGAAUUGGACGUGUCAGUGAGCCCAGUUCCAGCCACCAAGCUCCUGAAGACCAGCAGAGUGAGAAUAGUGAGGACCCCUAUGAAACAGUGAGAGAUCCCAGGGACCCUGCUGCAGGUCAUGUGUGCAAAUCUUCUGCUGUAAUGGACAACAAAGUGACCGAUAAUCCAGGACAGAUUUUUCAGCCUUUCCCAGCAAGGCAAGACAGUAAAGGUUUGGUUGGUUCUGAAAUAACGGACGUCUACGCAGCAGUGAACUUCAAAAAGAAAAGCCUGAAAAUCAAAGAACUCCCCGUUUCAUCAGACACCAUAGCGCAGGCUGAGGAUGACAUAGAUGAGGAGCCAGCACCUCCUGUUCCAGAAAAAAUGUUUGAAACGGACUGUCUCUAACUUAUAUGAUGUUUGAUAUCAUGUCUCAUGCACUUUAUCAAAAAAAGUUAAAGGGCUAAUAUUAUGUAAUCAUUGUGUAAACUAAUAAAAAGAAUGAUUAUCAUCA
rnacentral:lncRNA from 1 species